rnacentral:lncRNA from 1 species
UUUUAAAAAAAUAUAAAAAACCGGGUGAUAUAUAUAGACGAAACCGGGUGAUUGUGUAGAAACAACAAUGACGAAACCGGUGUAUUUUAAUUUGACAUGACCCAUUUCUUUCGUUCCAUACACAGAAAUACAAGUAUUGAGAUGCUCAUAAUGACUAGUUUUGCAAUCUCCGUGUCAGUAUCUAUCUUCCCGUACCUUUCUUUCCGUACAAUGUGAACAAUUUAACG